AACGAACGCUGGCGGCAUGCCUAACACAUGCAAGUCGAACGAGACCUUCGGGUCUAGUGGCGCACGGGUGCGUAACGCGUGGGAAUCUGCCCUUAGGUUCGGAAUAACUCAGAGAGAUUUGAGCUAAUACCGGAUGAUGACGUAAGUCCAAAGAUUUAUCGCCUAAGGAUGAGCCCGCGUAGGAUUAGCUAGUUGGUGUGGUAAAAGCGCACCAAGGCGACGAUCCUUAGCUGGUCUGAGAGGAUGAUCAGCCACACUGGGACUGAGACACGGCCCAGACUCCUACGGGAGGCAGCAGUGGGGAAUAUUGGACAAUGGGCGAAAGCCUGAUCCAGCAAUGCCGCGUGAGUGAUGAAGGCCUUAGGGUUGUAAAGCUCUUUUACCCGGGAUGAUAAUGACAGUACCGGGAGAAUAAGCUCCGGCUAACUCCGUGCCAGCCGCCGCGGUAACAC
rnacentral:rRNA from 1 species